GAUGAACGCUGGCGGCGUGCCUAAUACAUGCAAGUCGAGCGAACGGACGAGAAGCUUGCUUCUCUGAUGUUAGCGGCGGACGGGUGAGUAACACGUGGAUAACCUACCUAUAAGACUGGGAUAACUUCGGGAAACCGGAGCUAAUACCGGAUAAUAUUUUGAACCGCAUGGUUCAAAAGUGAAAGACGGUCUUGCUGUCACUUAUAGAUGGAUCCGCGCUGCAUUAGCUAGUUGGUAAGGUAACGGCUUACCAAGGCAACGAUGCAUAGCCGACCUGAGAGGGGAAUCGGCAACAUGGGAACUGGACAACGGUCCGGACCCCUAGGGGGGGCAGCGGGAGGAAAUCUUCCGAAAUGGGCGAAAGCCUGACGGGGCAACGCCGCGUGAGUGAUGAAGGUCUUCGGAUCGUAAAACUCUGUUAUUGGGGAAGAACAUAUGUGUAAGUAACUGUGCACGUCUUGACGGUACCUAAUAAGAAGCCACGGCUAACUACGUG
rnacentral:rRNA from 1 species